rnacentral:rRNA from 1 species
UACAGAGACUGCAAGCGUUAUUCGGAUUCACUGGGCGUAAAGGGUGCGCAGGCGGCCGAGUGUGUGAGGCGUGAAAGCCCGGAGCUUAACUCCGGAAUUGCACCUCAAACUACACGGCUAGAGCAUUGGAGAGGGUAGCAGAAUUCACGGUGUAGCAGUGAAAUGCGUAGAUAUCAAGUGGAACACCAGUGGCGAAGGCGAGUCUCUGGACAUUUCCUGACGCUGAGGCACGAAAGCCAGGGGAGCAAACGGG